rnacentral:rRNA from 1 species
GAUGAACGCUGGCGGCGUGCCUAAUACAUGCAAGUCGAGCGAACGGACGAGAAGCUUGCUUCUCUGAUGUUAGCGGCGGACGGGUGAGUAACACGUGGAUAACCUACCUAUAAGACUGGGAUAACUUCGGGAAACCGGAGCUAAUACCGGAUAAUAUUUUGAACCGCAUGGUUCAAAAGUGAAAGACGGUCUUGCUGUCACUUAUAGACGGAUCCGCGCUGCAUUAGCUAGUUGGUAAGGUAACGGCUUACCAAGGCAACGAUGUAUAGCCGACCUGAGAGGGUGAUCGGCCACACUGGAACUGAGACACGGUCCAGACUCCUACGGGAGGCAGCAGUAGGGAAUCUUCCGCAAUGGGCGAAAGCCUGACGGAGCAACGCCGCGUGAGUGAUGAAGGUCUUCGGAUCGUAAAACUCUGUUAUUAGGGAAGAACAUAUGUGUAAGUAACUGUGCACAUCUUGACGGUACCUAAUCAGAAAGCCACGGCUAACUACGUG